AAGAAAUUUCUGGAAAUAAAAUAUUGUAAUCUUCUGAAAUAUUUUCUUUUGAUUUUAACUUCUUUUUAAAUUUUGCAAUAAAAAUUAAGUAAAAAAAACAGUUUGAAACAAAAAUCCUUUCAAGAUGAAAUAUUGAAAUGUUUUAUCCUGAAAUUGCUGAAAUGGGAUGUUUUUACAUUGUAAGAAUGAUUUGCUUUUUCUGGUUUUCUUUUUAAAUGAAAUGCCUUGGAAAUUGACCCUGUUUUGUGAGGUGUUUUGAGUUCAGUAUAACUGCAUAUUCCAACAGGUUUAUGAUUCCCUCAGUUUCUAAUCAGCUUCAGUGCUGUUGGUUCUGUGUCAGUUCAGUUCUGGAUUAUUGCAUGUAAAAUAUCCCUGUUGCUGCCACAUCUCUAUCUUUCCAUGCUUUUACCAGCUGCAUAACAUGCCAUGCAUUACCAUGUUUCCCAGACCUUCCAUCAUGGGAAUUCCCUUGGCAGAGGUCACCUGGAAGAUGCACUAGAUUCCUGUAUCAUCUGAAUGUGUUGGCCAUGACCACCCCCUUUUCAGUGCUGCUAUGGCCCUCCAUGAGACUAGAAGUGAGAACUGGCAUGGCCUAUAGUGAAUCAAGUGGUGUGUGUCAGUGAGAAGCUAUAGGUCUAAUACUACUAUUUUUCUGUGCCAGUAGUACCCAUCAGCAGGUUCCUGCACACAAAUCAAUGGCACGGUAUGACCUUUAUAUAAUACAGAAGCAUUCACUUCUGCUUUCAAGUAUUUUAUCAUAUUUGGUCCCUUAAGGUCUAAUCCUACUUACCAUUCACACACCUAACUGGCAGGUAUGUAGUUAUGUAGCAGCAGUUUCUGGCAACUAAGGUAACGUUUGCAAUUCAGCAUACCUGCUCUGCCCUACUGAGCAUGCUCAGUAGGCCUAGGCUGUAUCCUAGGAGCUGCCCUGGGGAAAAAUAAUCGCUUUAGGUAUAUGCAUAAGGUUGGGAAAGUUCUGAAUUUUUCACUUGUGUUAACUACAAGGAGGACCUGCCAUGUUUAAACUAAAUAGGCUAAUAGUUAGGACACUUACCCAGGGAGCAGGAGACUUGUGUUGCAGUCUUUUCUGUCUUAGAGAGGGCUUGAACCUGCCUUCGGCUUCCCAGCACAAUGCUUGUCCCCAAACUACAGACUAGGCAUUGACCUAGGUCAUCUUUAGGCUUCAUCUUGAGGCUGGCCCACUGCACCUUGCAUGUAAAACUUAUAUGGCAAAAUGAAUAAAUGGCACUGGGAAAGUUUCUGCCGAAGAAUUUCCAGCUCUCUCUCUUGCAAGACAGCAUCUGUUUCAUUAAGGCAUCCUCCCUCUGGCAUGUUUGCUUCUUCCUGGUCUUACAUAGCUCUGUUUCUUGGCUGCAUUUGUGGGCCAGUUUCAAGAGAAGGGCUGGAGAGGAUUCUGGGUAAUGACUAAACUGUUCCAUGGUGAUUAGAGCACUACUGAGAAGCUGGGAAUGCAGAUUUAAAUUCCUCCUAAGUGAAUGGGGCCUAGGACCUAGGCCUUUACUCCCUGGAUAAGUGCCCUAACUACUAGGAUAUGGGGUAAAAGGUAAGAGGUCCCUCUUCUUCCUUCUCCCUGCCCACUGGCAAGUAUACGUGCAGGGUGAUCCUAUUCUCCCCUGUGGAGAAAUAACAUUUCAAACUGUGCAUAAGUGCCAAAAACUGUAGCUACAUGGCUACAUAUCUGCCACUUGGAUUUAAAAAGAGUAAAUAGGACCUGGGCCUUGCUAUCUGAGAGAAAAAAACCAGAUGCUUGAAUGUGACAGUAAUCCUAGUGCUAUUGAUCUUAGUGGGUGGGAGAAUUGCCAGACGAAAUGAGAAAAGAGAAUAAGACUGGGCCCUUAGAUUUUACAUGUAUAACCUGUGUUUAUUAAAUAGAACAAUUUAUGCAUAUUGCACUCACAGUGGAGAGAAAAUAAUGUGAAAUUUCAUAUGAAAAGUGUCCCUCCUCUUUCCCCCUCCCCCCAGCAGUGCUGCUUUUUGUGAUAUUUGGGUAUCUCUUCUAAAGGAAGAAAAGUUACUUUUCUGAUGGAAUGGGAGCAUAGGAGGCAAAGAAAGAGAAGAAGGGCAGUGGAAAGGAGAACAUGUACACAACUGUUGUUAGAGGAUAGGAAGCCAAGAUCUGGGGAUACUCAACCUUGAAUAAGCGCUAUGAUUUGCGCUGCUAUACUAAAUGCACUUCAUGGGGAAGGAGGUUAGACCUGAGCCAGAGCUACAGCAAUAGCCAUGCAUUUCAAGCACACCCAGAAGAAAGAAGGGAGAGGCUGACCUCUUUCCCUUUUAGUGACAUGCAGAAAGAAUGUUCUUUGUGAAGUCUGUAUAACAAAAACAACACGAUCCCAGUAAAAGCAUUAAGGCUUGUAGGAGAGCACUGUGUGCUGUACAUUCUCAUCAUUGUGCGACCUUGAUAUGUUUUAUUAUUUUAAACACUUAAUUGUGUUAUUUAAAACCUUUUGUAAUUAUCCUGUUCUCUGGAGGCACAGUUAAGGCUUUUGCACAACACUCCUGGGUAGAUCCUGAAACAAUUAUUGAGGAAAUCCUGUGAAAUACUAUAUUACAGAAGCUUUUUAUAGGUUAGUUAUAGUUUAAUAGCUACGGGGCUGUAUAUACUUGCUAGCUUGCUGUUUGUUCGUGACUGACGUACUUCUUAUAAUUACCGGUAAGGAACUGUAGUGGCGAGGAAUUAACAAAGGACUAUAUUGCGCCACAUUUCCAAAAUUAUACUGCUCCUAUUAUCCACGUUUUCGGGCCUAAUGCCCAAGUGUUGCUAUUUCCUAUUUCUAUUUUGGUCAAGUCUGCAGGCCUCAGUCACUCUUAAGGUCUUUGUGAAGUGCAAUGCAAAAAUCAAUGGAGCUGGAGAAAAGUGUCAGUAAUCAUAUGAACACAGGGCUAGACAGGGCCUCCGUGGAUAUCAAGUCCAGUUAAAGGUGAGAGGCAAUGGCUAGGGCAGAGUUAAUGUGUUCUCAGCUUUGAUGGAUACCUGGAACUACCUAGGAGCUUGACCAGAAGCAAUAAAAGCUAAUUAACAAAAAGUCUCAAAGCUGCCUCUUGCUUCUUCCUCUCAGCUUGUAGGAGAUGGGGUGUAUCUACACGAGCCACCCACUGCGCAAUUGUUACUGCAGAGUCAUUUAAUACUUGCAUAACCAAGUACUAAAUGACUGCUCAGUAACCGUUGUUUCUGCACAGUUGUGUCCCAGCACAAUUGCCUAGUAACACUUACUGUGUAAUAGCUCAUUCCUGCUGCACAGUAGCGUUGCAUCACAGUUCGUGCCUGGCAACACUACUGCGCAGUAGUAAUGAGCAACUGAGCACUAAGCGUCUCAUGUAGAUGGACACAGGAUGUUCAAAUUGUCCCUCGUUAUAGCUUUUGUCUGUUCCCCUUUCCUUUCUUUUUUCAGACUCUUCCAUGCUGUUGCAGUAGCUGUGAUUGAUGAUGAAACUUUGCAUGGGCAUCACAGUGUUGGCGAUGUGUUUUGAUAUUAUUCUUGAGGUGCCACCUUCUGUAGGCAGGAAGUGUGAUGUCUCUUUGAGGAAUGUCCCUGGAGAAAUUAAUAACUAGCUUAUCUCCAUGUUCAAAAUAAAAAUCAGCGUCUUCCGCUGUCACCAGGGAGUUCACAGGAGUUUUGUCUUGUACACACUCUAGAUUAUUCAACAGCAGCUGCAUAUCUUGGAUCAGACUCACAUUCAGCCAAAUUUUUACACACUGGCAUUCUACUUAUGAGCUCCUGUGCCUUUAUGAAUACACAUAUUCUGACACUAGGAUUUCCUAAGCUAUCUUGCUUAGAUUGACCAGCUACUGCACAGAAUGAAUAAGUGCCUUGCCUACAAGGCUUGUACUGUUUUGUUUCACAUUUAGGUCAUUGCGCUGGAAACGUGAUACAUUCAGUUAAUCUUCAACGGGAGAUUUCAGACAUUAUAGAUCCACUUAGACCUUGUGAUGAAUUAGUUCAGUGUUUGGCAAAUAUUAAAUAACAUUUUUUGUUGACGUGGAAGUGUGACCUGCAGGCUGCAGCUGGUUCCAGUGUUUGUUACUGCUUGUGUCCAGCCCGUCUGUCUCUUCCUUUUUCUGUGCUCUGUCUUUUGAAGCACAGCUGGUUUACGUCUGUCACAAUCAAUGGAAGGACAUUUCCGAACUGGUAAUUACUGAGAGGAUCCGGUGCUGAUGGCUUUUGGAGCUGCCAAUCCAGGGAGUUGCUUUUGGCUCCUGCUGAGUACAGUAUGUCUGCAGUCUGACCAUUUAUCUCACUUUACAUACUUGAACUGAAAGAAAGGUUUGUGCAAGCACUUGUAGCUCGUUCCCUCACGCCGCCUCCUCCCCCCGCCACCCUUGCUGUUAUCAACCAUUGCAGCAGCACUAAAAUGUGUCAAAUAAGCUAAAAUAAUCUUGAAGAAAUAUUAACAAGGCAUUUAGUCAUGGUGUAAACUAUGACUGUGAAAUCAUCCUUGGCUGAUGAUUACAUGAAAAAGCAAUAAAUCUGUCUCAGUAAAAAUACUGGGCUAAAUUCUAAUUAAUCGUUAUAGUCCCAAAUUGUCAAACUAAGAUAGUUACCUAAAUCCAUAUUUAGGCACUUAUGAAGUUCUCGGCUUUUCAGAGGUGCUGAUCUCAAGAAUGGCUGGUAAUGAACACUUUGAAAGGAUGGGAGGAAAUGAGGCCUUUAAUUUAGAUGGCUGGAUAGGUAUUUAGUUGCCUAAUUAAGGGCAUCAAAAUUUGAACAUGUUUCCCUUCUUCCUUAGAGUAAUGGAACAUAUCUUCUCCUUUUAAGCUGUUAGAAGAAAAAGCUACUUUUGAAAGGUGUGGAUAAAGAGAGCGGAACUAACAAUGAUGAGGCAAUAUCUCCACAUCAAUUAAUUUUGGUUUAACUUGGCCUAUGUAGCAAGUAUCAGAUUCUUCUGCAGAGGCAGCAUACCUUCCUUUCAUUGGCCUAGCAAAAAGUCAGGCAUUUUUUAAGUCAGACAACAAGGACGCUGUGAUGAAGGCAGUCUGCUCAGUUAAAUGGUGUUUGUUCCAGUUUUGUUCUAUUGUGUUUCUUGCUUUCCUCCUUUAAAAAUUUAUAAAAGAUUCUUAAACGUUCCUUUGGCAUACAGAGGUCUCAUUUAUCUGCCCAGUCAUAUGAAACAAGAGUAAUGUUGACUGUUUAAUCUCUAGGAGAUAGUUCCUCAUGCAUUCUUCUCAUUCUCAGUCUCUCUCAUUCCCUUUGUUGAAGCUGUUUUAACUUUACCCAGUUGCUGCUCUCCAUCACAGCCUUCAUUUCCGCUCCUUCUCCCUCUGCUACUGUGGUUACUUGGUAAAAGUAUGUUUGUACAAGGAGAAAUGCUAUCUUCCUGCCUUGGGCAUUUUCGCUCACCUGCUGGUCAAAACCAUUCACAUCCGCCUGCUUCUCAGACUCCAUGGAGACUGCAUGUGAAGCUGAAACAAGGUUGAAUAUGGCAGAGCAAAUCCUCAUCUGGCGUAAAGUGUCACGGCUCUGCUCCAUCCUUCUUCUGAAACAUCCAUGUAAUGAUUGCUACUGUUACAACAGUGGAUUGUGUUUUUCUCCUGGGGAAAUUAGUUCAGAGCUGGACUCCGCAAUAGAGAGUGACACAGAGCCUGAUUCUCUUACAAGUGCAAGUGAGAGCAGACUGAGGCUGCAAAAUGACUUUGUGAUGAUAGGUACUGCAAGAAUGUAACUUUCUAACAGUAUGUGCCUCAAAAAACUGAAGGAAGGUAUAACUCCCUUUUACAAUAUUUAAUCUAAAUUUGUGCAUACUGGUGUAUAGACCUUCUGUUGCUAGACCUUCUGUUGCUGUUAAUAGAUACGUUUGCUCUGAUUUUGUCUUUUCUUAGCUCUAGAAGUGAAAAAUGUAUAAUUAAAAUGAUCAAAUAUUCCA